rnacentral:rRNA from 1 species
GAUGAACGCUGGCGGCGUACCUAAUACAUGCCAGUCGAGCGAACAGACGAGGAGCUUGCUCCUUUGACGUUAGCGGCGGACGGGUGAGUAACACGUGGGUAACCUACCUAUAAGACUGGGAUAACUUCGGGAAACCGGAGCUAAUACCGGAUAAUAUUUCGAACCGCAUGGUUCGAUAGUGAAAGAUGGCUCUGCUAUCACUUAUAGAUGGACCUGCGCCGUAUUAGCUAGUUGGUAAGGUAACGGCUUACCAAGGCAACGAUACGUAGCCGACCUGAGAGGGUGAUCGGCCACACUGGAACUGAGACACGGUCCAGACUCCUACGGGAGGCAGCAGUAGGGAAUCUUCCGCAAUGGGCGAAAGCCUGACGGAGCAACGCCGCGUGAGUGAUGAAGGUCUUCGGAUCGUAAAACUCUGUUAUUAGGGAAGAACAAACGUGUAAGUAACUGUGCACGUCUUGACGGUACCUAAUCAGAAAGCCACGGCUAACUACGUG